rnacentral:rRNA from 1 species
CAGCCGCCGCGGUAAUACGGAGGGUGCAAGCGUUAAUCGGAAUUACUGGGCGUAAAGCGCACGCAGGCGGUUUGUUAAGUCAGAUGUGAAAUCCCCGAGCUUAACUUGGGAACUGCAUUUGAAACUGGCAAGCUAGAGUCUUGUAGAGGGGGGUAGAAUUCCAGGUGUAGCGGUGAAAUGCGUAGAGAUCUGGAGGAAUACCGGUGGCGAAGGCGGCCCCCUGGACAAAGACUGACGCUCAGGUGCGAAAGCGUGGGGAGCAAACAGGAUUAGAUACCCCUGUAGUCCCUGUCUCUUAUAC